rnacentral:rRNA from 1 species
UGUGUAGGAUCGGUGGUAGGCUUUGAAGCGAGGGCGCCAGCCUUCGUGGAGCCAUCCUUGAAAUACCACCCUUGUAGAUAUGGUUGUCUAACCGCGGCCCCUGAUCGGGGUCCGGGACAGCGCAUGGCAGGCAGUUUGACUGGGGCGGUCGCCUCCCAAAGAGUAACGGAGGCGUGCGAAGGUAGGCUCAGACCGGUCGGAAAUCGGUCGUUGAGUGCAAUGGCAUAAGCCUGCCUGA